CUGGAGCAGUGAAAGAUGGAAAGUAAUUACACGUGCAGGACGAAGCCAGCCCGAGAACACGGGAGCUCCUUGAAGCAGCAUUGGAGAUUGAACCCAGGGCUUCAUGGAUGCCAGACAAGACAAGCACUUCAUACACCAAACUACACUUCCAAUCCAAGAAUUUUAUUUUCAAAGAUCCUAUUAUAAAACUCAAAAUGUUAGGCUAUUGGCCAACCACGAAAGAAACAAAGACUUGAAGUGCCAACAAAGAAUGUUGUGUGUACCAAAAACUGAAAGUAGAAACUUCAACAAAUAAAUAUAAAUCAUGAAACUAA